CCUACGGGUGACUGCAGUGGGGAAUAUUGCACAAUGGGGGAAACCCUGAUGCAGCGACGCCGCGUGAGUGAAGAAGUAAUUCGUUACGUAAAGCUCUAUCAGCAGGGAAGAAACACUGACCUUACGGUCAGCAGACGGUACCUGAGUAAGAAGCCCCGGCUAACUACGUGCCAGCAGCCGCGGUAAUACGUAGGGGGCAAGCGUUAACCGGAUGUACUGGGUGUAAAGGUAGCGUAGACGGUUCGCCAAGUCUGGAGUUAAAUGCCGCAGCUUAACUGAGGAACUGCUUUGGAAACUGGCGAACUAGCUUGCGGGAGGGGUAAGCGGAAGUGCUAGGGUAGCGGUGAAAUGCGUAGAUAUUAGGAGGAACACCGGUGGCGAAGGCGGCUUACUGGACCGUAACUGACGUUGAGGCUCGAAAGCGUGGGGAGCAAACAGGAUUAGAUACCCUAGUAGUC
rnacentral:rRNA from 1 species